UUUUUUUUUGUCCCCUAGUCUCGGGUUUUAUGGUAGGGUAGUCUCGGAUUAGGUGUCAGAAAAAGUAAGCUCAUCACAAGCAAGAACUAACCAAGGACCAUGGGAUAACAUACCUUAUAAAGCCCAGCCAACCUGACCUGUAAAUGACAAACAGAACUAUUGAAACACAUACUUCAGAGACUCCGAUGACAGAGUCGAAUAACCUUCAUCAGCAGUGAGUAUGAGAUCAGGACUGAAUGACUUCUUACCAAUUGAAGAUCACUUGUACAACAGUGCCUGGAAUGAGAAUGAAGAUCAAGUCAGAUCACAGCAUACACAUUUAUCUGAUGGCAGCUCAACAGAAAACUCAGCUCUGCUGUAUCAUCGUGAUUCAGAAACACAGACCAAGUAGAAAAUAUCAUCACAACAUUUAUACUUUGUCCUCCCAAGAGAAGUACACACAAAAGCCUUGAACCUUACCAUGAACAGUACACCACGUGUAGCUCAGCUUCUUCGGGUGCCACAAUGGAUAAGGAGAGAGAGCAUUAAACGGCUCCUGAAAAGGAAAGACAUCCGCCCUCAGACAACGUAGCAAGCGAAAUCGUUCUUAAAAUAAGCACGUUGUCAGGUUUUGGAAAACGCAUCAAGGGUAUGUGUCAGAGACUCUAGUCAAAUUUCAUCAUAAUAUACACAGUACCGCAGUACUGAACAUUUACUCACAUGUAAUUAUGUUGCCUGGCGUAUUUCCCAGGAGCCGUGUGGGGGUCAAGAAAACCUGCGCAAAGUGGCACUUCGUUAGGAAGCAGUUCCACAAAGACUUAGAAUGCACGCGCCAGUUAAAACACACUGUAAAUCUCAGACAAAUGCCUCAUUGUCAGCACUUGGCAUUCACGCAGCUCAACCAUGCUGUAGAACACAACAAUAGAAUCGCCGAGCAUGAACGUUCAGCCUCGUCAUCGUUGUCAUCACUGGUUUCGGAUGUUGAAGAUGAAAUGCGAUUGCUCACCUCAACACGAACGCACGUAGAACCCAACGAGACGGACAACCAAGAUGGACGAGCUGGAAUGGAGAGGAGAGGCUCGAGGAAACGGAAAUGGGCGCAUUUAUAGUGGCGCGCGCACUACACUAGGGCCACCUGGCAUCGGCGGCAUGUUUA